UACGUAGGGGGCAAGCGUUGUCCGGAUUUAUUGGGCGUAAAGAGCGUGUAGGCGGUUUGGUAGGUCCGCUGUGAAAACUCGAGCUCAACCUCGAGACGCCGGUGGAAACCAUCAGACUAGAGUCCGGAAGAGGAGAGUGGAAUUCCUGGUGUAGCGGUGAAAUGCGCAGAUAUCAGGAAGAACACCCGUGGCUAAGGCGGCUCUCUAGUACGGUACUGACACUGAGACGCGAAAAGCGUGGGGAGCGAACAGG
rnacentral:rRNA from 1 species